AUUGAACGCUGGCGGCAGGCCUAACACAUGCAAGUCGAACGAGUGGCGGACGGGUGAGUAAUGUCUGGGAAACUGCCCGAUGGAGGGGGCUAACUACUGGAAACGGUAGCUAAUACCGCAUACCAUCGGAUGUGCCCAGAUGGGAUUAGCUAUGAGGUGGGGUAACGGCUCACCUAGGCGACGAUCCAUAGCUGGUCUGAGAGGAUGACCAGCCACACUGGAACGGAGACACGGUCCAUACUCCGACGGGAGGCAGCAGUGGGGAAUAUUGCACAAUGGGCGCAAGCCGGAUGCAGCCAUGCCGCGUGUAUGAAGAAGGCCUUCGGGUUGUAAAGUACUUUCAGCGGGGAGGCGUUACCCGCAGAAGAAGCACCGGCUAACUCCGUGCCAGCAGCCGCGGUAAUUC
rnacentral:rRNA from 1 species